rnacentral:rRNA from 1 species
GACGAACGCUGGCGGCGUGCUUAACACAUGCAAGUCGAACGGAAAGGCCCUGCUUUUGUGGGGUGCUCGAGUGGCGAACGGGUGAGUAACACGUGUGUAUCCUGCCCUUGUCUUUCGGAUAACUUCAGGAAACUGCGGCUAUUACCGGGUAGAAGCUCCUGCUCCAUGGUGUGGGUUGGAAAGUGUCGGCGGUUGGGGAUGGACUCGCGGGUUAUCAGCUUGUUGGUGGGGUAGUGGCUUACCAAGGCUUUGACGGGUAGCCGGCCUGAGAGGGUAGCCGGCCACAUUGGGCCUGAGAGACGGCCCAGACGCCUACGGGAGGCAGCAGGGGGGAAUAUUGCACAAUGGGCGGAAGCCUGAUGCAGCAACGCCGCGUGCGGGAUGCCGGCCUUCGGGUUGUAAACCGCUUUCGCCUGUGACGAAGCGUGAGUGACGGUAAUGGGUAAAGAAGCACCGGCUAACUACGUG